rnacentral:rRNA from 1 species
AAAUUGAAGAGUUUGAUCAUGGCUCAGAUUGAACGCUGGCGGCAGGCCUAACACAUGCAAGUCGAACGGUAACAGGAAACAGCUUGCUGUUUCGCUGACGAGUGGCGGACGGGUGAGUAAUGUCUGGGAAACUGCCUGAUGGAGGGGGAUAACUACUGGAAACGGUAGCUAAUACCGCAUAAUGUCGCAAGACCAAAGAGGGGGACCUUCGGGCCUCUUGCCAUCGGAUGUGCCCAGAUGGGAUUAGCUUGUUGGUGGGGUAACGGCUCACCAAGGCGACGAUCCCUAGCUGGUCUGAGAGGAUGACCAGCCACACUGGAACUGAGACACGGUCCAGACUCCUACGGGAGGCAGCAGUGGGGAAUAUUGCACAAUGGGCGCAAGCCUGAUGCAGCCAUGCCGCGUGUAUGAAGAAGGCCUUCGGGUUGUAAAGUACUUUCAGCGGGGAGGAAGGGAGUAAAGUUAAUACCUUUGCUCAUUGACGUUACCCGCAGAAGAAGCACCGGCUAACUCCGUGCCAGCAGCCGCGGUAAUACGGAGGGUGCAAGCGUUAAUCGGAAUUACUGGGCGUAAAGCGCACGCAGGCGGUUUGUUAAGUCAGAUGUGAAAUCCCCGGGCUCAACCUGGGAACUGCAUCUGAUACUGGCAAGCUUGAGUCUCGUAGAGGGGGGUAGAAUUCCAGGUGUAGCGGUGAAAUGCGUAGAGAUCUGGAGGAAUACCGGUGGCGAAGGCGGCCCCCUGGACGAAGACUGACGCUCAGGUGCGAAAGCGUGGGGAGCAAACAGGAUUAGAUACCCUGGUAGUCCACGCCGUAAACGAUGUCGACUUGGAGGUUGUGCCCUUGAGGCGUGGCUUCCGGAGCUAACGCGUUAAGUCGACCGCCUGGGGAGUACGGCCGCAAGGUUAAAACUCAAAUGAAUUGACGGGGGCCCGCACAAGCGGUGGAGCAUGUGGUUUAAUUCGAUGCAACGCGAAGAACCUUACCUGGUCUUGACAUCCACGGAAGUUUUCAGAGAUGAGAAUGUGCCUUCGGGAACCGUGAGACAGGUGCUGCAUGGCUGUCGUCAGCUCGUGUUGUGAAAUGUUGGGUUAAGUCCCGCAACGAGCGCAACCCUUAUCCUUUGUUGCCAGCGGUUCGGCCGGGAACUCAAAGGAGACUGCCAGUGAUAAACUGGAGGAAGGUGGGGAUGACGUCAAGUCAUCAUGGCCCUUACGACCAGGGCUACACACGUGCUACAAUGGCGCAUACAAAGAGAAGCGACCUCGCGAGAGCAAGCGGACCUCAUAAAGUGCGUCGUAGUCCGGAUUGGAGUCUGCAACUCGACUCCAUGAAGUCGGAAUCGCUAGUAAUCGUGGAUCAGAAUGCCACGGUGAAUACGUUCCCGGGCCUUGUACACACCGCCCGUCACACCAUGGGAGUGGGUUGCAAAAGAAGUAGGUAGCUUAACCUUCGGGAGGGCGCUUACCACUUUGUGAUUCAUGACUGGGGUGAAGUCGUAACAAGGUAACCGUAGGGGAACCUGCGGUUGGAUCACCUCCUUA